rnacentral:misc_RNA from 1 species
GAUGAAGAACGUAGUGAAAUGCGAUACGUAAUGUGAAUUGCAAAUUCAGUGAAUCAUCGAGUCUUUGAACGUACAUUGCGCCCCCUGGUAUUCCGGGGGGCAUGCCUGUCCGAGCGUCAUUGCUGCCCUCAAGCACGGCUUGUGUGUUGGGCCCCGUCCUCCGAUCCCGGGGGACGGGCCCGAAAGGCAGCGGCGGCACCGCGUCCGGUCCUCGAGCGUAUGGGGCUUUGUCACCCGCUCUGUAGGCCCGGCCGGCGCUUGCCGAUCAACCCAAAUUUUUAUCCAGGUUGACCUCGGAUCAGGUAGGGAUACCCGCUGAACUUAAGCAUAUCAAUAAGCGGAGGA